UACGUAGGGUCCGAGCGUUGUCCGGAAUUACUGGGCGUAAAGAGCUCGUAGGUGGUUUGUCGCGUUGUUCGUGAAAACUCACAGCUCAACUGUGGGCGUGCGGGCGAUACGGGGCAGACUAGAGUACUGCAGGGGAGACUGGAAUUCCUGGUGUAGCGGUGGAAUGCGCAGAUAUCAGGAGGAACACCGGUGGCGAAGGCGGUCUGCUGGGCAGUUGCUGACACUGGAGGCGCGACAGCGUGGGGAGCAAACAGG
rnacentral:rRNA from 1 species